ACUGCUCAGUAACACGUGGACAACCUACCCUCAGAUCUGGGAUAAACCUGGGAAACUGGGUAUAAUACCGGAUAGGUCUUGGAUGCUGGAAUGCACCGAGGCCCAAAGCUCCGGCGUCUGAGGAUGGGUCUGCGGCCUAUCAGGGUAGUAGUGGGUGUAAAGUACCUACUAGCCUACGACGGGUACGGGUCGUGAGAGCGAGAGCCCGGAGAUGGAUUCUGAGACACGAAUCCAGGCCCUACGGGGUGCAGCAGGCGCGAAAACUUUACAAUGCCGGCAACGGCGAUAAGGGGACCUCGAGUGCCAGGAUACAAUCCUGGCUGUCGUAAUGCCUAAAAAGCAUUAUAUAGCAAGGGCCGGGCAAGACCGGUGCCAGCCGCCGCGGUAACACCGGCGGCUCGAGUGGUAACCGCUAUUAUUGGGUCUAAAGGGUCUGUAGCCGGCCUGGUAAGUCUUUUGGGAAAUCCGGCAGCUCAACUGUCGGGCUAUCAGAGGAUACUGCUAGGCUCGAGACCGGGAGAGGUGAGAGGUACUUCAUGGGUAGGGGUGAAAUCUUGUAAUCCUUGAAGGACCACCAGUGGCGAAGGCGUCUCACCAGAACGGAUCUGACGGCAAGGGACGAAAGCUAGGGGCACGAACCGGAUUAGAUACCCGGGUAGUCCUAGCCGUAAACGAUACUCGCUAGGUGUCGGCCACGGUGCGACCGUGGUCGGUGCCGUAGGGAAGCCGUGAAGCGAGCCACCUGGGAAGUACGGCCGCAAGGCUGAAACUUAAAGGAAUUGGCGGGGGAGCACAUACUGCUCAGUAACACGUAUAGGAAUUGGCGGGGGAGCACCUACUGCUCAGUAACACGUAUAGGAAUUGGCGGGGGAG
rnacentral:rRNA from 1 species